CAAGAGUUCAACAAUGGAGUAUUAAACCUCCCAAUUCAUCACAAAUCUGAAUAUUCUCAACUUCAACUAGAAAAUAAUGAAUUUAGCCACUCAUGGUGACUAAAAUACAAAAAUAAAGAAGAAAAGAAAGAAGGAAAGUUUCUGCUGUGUUGCUGGAGAAUUUCCGAGUAUGGCAGAUGCUGAAAGAGAUCUUCUUGCUGGUUUGGAGGUUGCUCUUUUAUAGUUGGAGAAUCUCAUCCAUCUAGGGUUUUGAAAUCCCUUCUUGACUUGGUCUUUGAUUCCUCUUUG
rnacentral:lncRNA from 1 species